rnacentral:rRNA from 1 species
CCUACGGGGGGCUGCAGUGGGGAAUAUUGGACAAUGGGGGCAACCCUGAUCCAGCCAUGCCGCGUGUGUGAAGAAGGCCCUCGGGUUGUAAAGCACUUUCAGUGAGGAAGAACGCCUGGUGGUUAAUACCCAUCAGGAAAGACAUCACUCACAGAAGAAGCACCGGCUAACUCCGUGCCAGCAGCCGCGGUAAUACGGAGGGGUGCGAGCGUUAAUCGGAAUUACUGGGCGUAAAGCGCGCGUAGGUGGCUUGAUAAGCCGGUUGUGAAAGCCCCGGGCUCAACCUGGGAACGGCAUCCGGAACUGUCAAGCUAGAGUGCAGGAGAGGAAGGUAGAAUUCCCGGUGUAGCGGUGAAAUGCGUAGAGAUCGGGAGGAAUACCAGUGGCGAAGGCGGCCUUCUGGACUGACACUGACACUGAGGUGCGAAAGCGUGGGUAGCAAACAGGAUUAGAUACCCCGGUAGUC